UUCCACACAGGAGUUUAAUGAAUUUAAAUUAACACAACUUAAUUUGACUUAAUUUCCAAUUAUAGACAAGCCCUUAAUCUCAUUUCCCCUGUUUGUCUCCAGAAGUAGGCCUAAGAAACCUGAACUCUCACCUAUCAAGAAGGAGGCAAGGGAGAGGAGACAAGGUAGUCAGACCAGAAAGUAACAGACCCUGAGCAUAUAAACAACUUCACUGCGCGCUCCAGUCGAGUAAGAGCCUCCCCUCAGAGAAGACACUACAGAAAGGAAUACAUCUAAUUCCAAAUACUUUAAAAUGACAAGCAACAUGCAUAUGGAGGAGGCUGGCUGGCAGAGGUGCAGAAAUGGGGAAGCAGCUAAAAUGAAGGAGAAAGAAAAGUGAUAAGGGAACUUGAAAAAUAAGUAGGAUCACUCAAGCAGUAAGGUGCAAUGAUAAGGGUAUCAAAGCUGGUCCGUAGAUAUUUCAGGGAUUUAGGUCAGUGUUUUAUAAAGCUGGCUUCUGAUUCAGGGUGGCUGAAUUGUUGUGUGUCCAGCUUGACUAUACCUUCGUCCAAGUACCCACAGCUUCCAAUAAUUUGGUUCUGGGAACUCAGCACCUACGAAAAUCAGGUCCCUGGUGUCUCAAGUUGGGUAAUAUUGGUGACUUAGAGGAGUGUUUAUACAGAUAAUGUCCCAGAGCCUUAAUAUGCCUCCUUUUCUGUGAGGAAUUUCCUGCCCUGCCAGGUGAAUCCAUUGACUAACACGGAGUGCCUCCCUGUGAUGUUCUGGGGACUACCCAAACCAGUCAGGAGCUCAGUCGCUGCCUGCCCUGUAACCUGGGGUUAAUCUUAUGCUACUGUUGGAUCCCUGACACCAGUAGCCACCCCACAAGCAUAAAAGGCUCAUCCUGGCUUCCACCAAUGUGCAUCCUAAGCUAGUGGCGAAAUCUACAAGAUGAAACUAAAAGCAGGGAGUGUCCUGGUCAUGAAUAAUGACAAAGGAUGGGACUGGUAUAUCUUGGGGAAGGUGUGGGGGCAAGAAACACACUGAGGGGCAAGAUGGCACUGCGUACUUGUCAUGAAAGGAGGCUGUAAAGCGCUGCAAGGAUUUAGGUGAGCCAUGGUCUACAAGACCCAAGUGUCUUCUGAAUGAAGUCUAAGCUCUAGAAUGUAUGUUAUGAUGAUGUUUUAUAUCUGACCAUUUGUUUCCACUACUUCUAUUUGCUACUCCUUGAAUCCCCACGCUUUGUUAAAUAAACAUA